CUACGGGUGGCUGCAGUGGGGAAUCUUGGACAAUGGGCGCAAGCCUGAUCCAGCCAUGCCGCGUGAGUGAUGAAGGCCUUAGGGUCGUAAAGCUCUUUCGCCAGGGAUGAUAAUGACAGUACCUGGUAAAGAAACCCCGGCUAACUCCGUGCCAGCAGCCGCGGGUAAUACGGAGGGGGUUAGCGUUGUUCGGAAUUACUGGGCGUAAAGCGCGCGUAGGCGGACCAGAAAGUUGGGGGUGAAAUCCCGGGGCUCAACCCCGGAACGGCCUCCAAAACUCCUGGUCUUGAGUUCGAGAGAGGUGAGUGGAAUUCCGAGUGUAGAGGUGAAAUUCGUAGAUAUUCGGAGGAACACCAGUGGCGAAGGCGACUCACUGGCUCGAUACUGACGCUGAGGUGCGAAAGUGUGGGGAGCAAACAGGAUUAGAUACCCCUGUAGUC
rnacentral:rRNA from 1 species